rnacentral:rRNA from 1 species
UGACGGUACCGUAAGAAUAAGCACCGGCUAACUACGUGCCAGCAGCCGCGGUAAUACGUAGGGUGCAAGCGUUUAUCGGAAUUACUGGGCGUAAAGCGUGCGCAGGCGGUUAUGUAAGACAGAGGUGAAAUCCCCGGGCUCAACCUGGGAACUGCCUUUGUGACUGCAUAGCUAGAGUACGGUAGAGGGGGAUGGAAUUCCGCGUGUAGCAGUGAAAUGCGUAGAUAUGCGGAGGAACACCGAUGGCGAAGGCAAUCCCCUGGACCUGUACUGACGCUCAUGCACGAAAGCGUGGGGAGCAAACAGGAUUAGAUACCCUGGUAGUCCACGCCCUAAACGAUGUCAACUGGUUGUU